rnacentral:rRNA from 1 species
UACAUGCAAGUCGAGCGGACAGAAGGGAGCUUGCUCCCGGAUGUUAGCGGCGGACGGGUGAGUAACACGUGGGUAACCUGCCUGUAAGACUGGGAUAACUCCGGGAAACCGGAGCUAAUACCGGAUAGUUCCUUGAACCGCAUGGUUCAAGGAUGAAAGACGGUUUCGGCUGUCACUUACAGAUGGACCCGCGGCGCAUUAGCUAGUUGGUGAGGUAACGGCUCACCAAGGCGACGAUGCGUAGCCGACCUGAGAGGGUGAUCGGCCACACUGGGACUGAGACACGGCCCAGACUCCUACGGGAGGCAGCAGUAGGGAAUCUUCCGCAAUGGACGAAAGUCUGACGGAGCAACGCCGCGUGAGUGAUGAAGGUUUUCGGAUCGUAAAGCUCUGUUGUUAGGGAAGAACAAGUGCAAGAGUAACUGCUUGCACCUUGACGGUACCUAACCAGAAAGCCACGGCUAACUACGUGCCAGCAGCCGCGGUAAUACGUAGGUGGCAAGCGUUGUCCGGAAUUAUUGGGCGUAAAGGGCUCGCAGGCGGUUUCUUAAGUCUGAUGUGAAAGCCCCCGGCUCAACCGGGGAGGGUCAUUGGAAACUGGGAAACUUGAGUGCAGAAGAGGAGAGUGGAAUUCCACGUGUAGCGGUGAAAUGCGUAGAGAUGUGGAGGAACACCAGUGGCGAAGGCGACUCUCUGGUCUGUAACUGACGCUGAGGAGCGAAAGCGUGGGGAGCGAACAGGAUUAGAUACCCUGGUAGUCCACGCCGUAAACGAUGAGUGCUAAGUGUUAGGGGGUUUCCGCCCCUUAGUGCUGCAGCUAACGCAUUAAGCACUCCGCCUGGGGAGUACGGUCGCAAGACUGAAACUCAAAGGAAUUGACGGGGGCCCGCACAAGCGGUGGAGCAUGUGGUUUAAUUCGAAGCAACGCGAAGAACCUUACCAGGUCUUGACAUCCUCUGACAACCCUAGAGAUAGGGCUUUCCCUUCGGGGACAGAGUGACAGGUGGUGCAUGGUUGUCGUCAGCUCGUGUCGUGAGAUGUUGGGUUAAGUCCCGCAACGAGCGCAACCCUUGAUCUUAGUUG